rnacentral:rRNA from 1 species
ACCUGGCUCAGAGCGAACGUUUGCGGCGGGCCUAACACAUGCAAGUCGAACGCACUAGCAAUAGUGAGUGGCGCACGGGUGCGUAACACGUGGGUAAUCAACCCUUCAGCUUGGGAUAACGACUUGAAAGGGUCGCUAAUACCGGAUACGGCGCGAGAGGCUUCGGCUUCUCACGAGAAAGCCUCGCAAGGGGCACUGAAGGACGAGCCUGCGGCCCAUCAGCUAGUUGGUGAGGUAAGAGCUCACCAAGGCUAAGACGGGUAGCUGGUCUGAGAGGAUGAUCAGCCACACUGGAACUGAGACACGGUCCAGACUCCUACGGGAGGCAGCAGUGGGGAAUAUUGCGUAAUGGGCGAAAGCCUGACGCAGCCACGCCGCGUGAGCGAUGAAGGCCUUCGGGUCGUAAAGCUCUGUGGGGAGAGACGAAGAAAGCCCGUGAAGAGCGGGCCUUGACGGUAUCUCCUUAGCAAGCACCGGCUAACUCCGUG